AUUGAACGCUGGCAGCAUGCUUUACACAUGCAAGUCGAACGGUAACAGGGUGCUUGCACCGCUGACGAGUGGCGAACGGGUGAGUAAUGCGUCGGAACGUGCCGAGUAGUGGGGGACAACGCUGCGAAAGUUGUGCUAAUACCGCAUACGUACUGAGGUAGAAAGUGGGGGACCUUCGGGCCUCACGCUAUUCGAGCGGCCGACGUCUGAUUAGCUAGUAGGUGAGGUAAAGGCUCACCUAGGCGACGAUCAGUAGCGGGUCUGAGAGGAUGAUCCGCCACACGGGGAGUGGGACACGGCCCAGACUCUUACGGGAGGCAGCGGUGGGGAAUUUUGGGCAAUGGGCGAAAGCCUGAUCCAGCCAUGCCGCGUGUCUGAAGAAGGCCUUCGGGUUGUAAAGGACUUUUGUCAGGGAGGAAAUCCCUAGUGCUAAUAACACUGGGGGAUGACAGUACCUGAAGAAUAAGCACCGGCUAACUACGUGCCAGCCGCCGCGGUAA
rnacentral:rRNA from 1 species